CCGCGUGCGGGAAGAAGGCCUUCGGGUUGUAAACCGCUUUCAGCAGGAACGAAAAUGACGGUACCUGCAGAAGAAGGUGCGGCCAACUACGUGCCAGCAGCCGCGGUGACACGUAGGCACCAAGCGUUGUCCGGAUUUAUUGGGCGUAAAGAGCUCGUAGGCGGUUCAGUAGUCGGGUGUGAAAACUCUGGGCUUAACCCAGAGCCUGCACCCGAAACUGCUGUGACUAGAGUUCGGUAGGGGAGCGGGGAAUUCCUGGUGUAGCGGUGAAAUGCGCAGAUAUCAGGAGGAACACCGGUGGCGAAGGCGCCGCUCUGGGCCGAAACUGACGCUGAGGAGCGAAAGCGUGGGUAGCAAACAGGAUUAGAUACCCUGGUAGUCCACGCCGUAAACGUUGGGCACUAGGUGUGGGUCUCAACCAACGAGAUCCGCGCCGUCGCUAACGCAUUAAGUGCCCCGACUGGGGAGUACGGUCGCAAGACUAAAACUCAAAGGAAUUGACGGGGGCCCGCACAAGCAGCGGAGCGUGUUGCUUAAUUCGAUGCUACGCGAAGAAGCUUACCUGGGUUCAAUCAUCGUGAAAAGCCACAGAGAUGUGGUGUCCGAAAGGGCGCGAUGAAGGUGGUGCAUGGCUGUCGUCAGCUC
rnacentral:rRNA from 1 species